UACGAAGGGGGCUAGCGUUGCUCGGAAUCACUGGGCGUAAAGCGCACGUAGGCGGAUUUUUAAGUCAGGGGUGAAAUCCUGGAGCUCAACUCCAGAACUGCCUUUGAUACUGGGAAUCUCGAGUCCGGGAGAGGCGAGUGGAACUGCGAGUGUAGAGGUGAAAUUCGUAGAUAUUCGCAAGAACACCAGUGGCGAAGGCGGCUCACUGGCCCGGUACUGACGCUGAGGUGCGAAAGUGUGGGGAGCAAACAGG
rnacentral:rRNA from 1 species